rnacentral:misc_RNA from 2 species
ACGAGUUAGGGUCUUCCAGGCCCGACCUCCCAACCCUAUGUUUAUUGAACCUCUGUUGCUUCGGCGGGCCCGUCUCACGACCGCCGGAGGACCGCUGCGAGGCGUCCUCUGGCCCGUGUCCGCCGAUAGCCAACCACUAAACUCUGAAUAAAUCGUGUCAUUAUGUCUAAGUCUAUGAUCAAAUUAAAGCA